rnacentral:tRNA from 1 species
GGAGAUUUAGCUCACUGGUAGAGCACUUGCCUAGCAAGCGCAAGGCCCUGGGUUCGGUUCCCAGCUCCG